rnacentral:rRNA from 1 species
GACGAACGCUGGCGGCGUGCUUAACACAUGCAAGUCGAGCGGUAAGGCCCUUUCGGGGGUACGACGAGCGGCGAACGGGUGAGUAACACGUGGGUGACCUGCCCUCAGCUCUGGGAGUAAGCCUGGGAAACCGGGUCUAAUACUGGAUAUGACUCCAUGACGCAUGUUGUGGGGUGGAAAGCCUUGUGCGGCUGAGGAUGGGCCCGCGGCCUAUCAGCUUGUUGGUGGGGUNAGGCCUACCAAGGCGACGACGGGUAGCCGGCCUGAGAGGGCGACCGGCCACACUGGGACUGAGACACGGCCCAGACUCCUACGGGAGGCAGCAGUGGGGAAUCUUGCGCAAUGGGCGAAAGCCUGACGCAGCGACGCCGCGUGA